AUACUUACCCAACUGGGCAGAUUCCAUGAUCAUGAAGGUGCUUCCCUCAGGGCGAGGCUUUAUCCAUUGCACUCUGGAUGUGCUACCCCUGUGAUUUCCCCAAAAGUGGGAAACUUAACUGCAUAAUUUAUGGAGGUGGGGGACUGCAUUUGGAAAAAAAAAAGGCCUCUU